UACGUAGGGUGCGAGCGUUAAUCGGAAUUACUGGGCGUAAAGCGUGCGCAGGCGGUUCGGCAAGUCAGGUGUGAAAUCCCCGGGCUUAACCUGGGAAUGGCAUUGGUGACUGCACGGCUAGAGUGUGUCAGAGGGGGGUAGAAUUCCACGUGUAGCAGUGAAAUGCGUAGAGAUGUGGAGGAAUACCGAUGGCGAAGGCAGCCCCCUGGGAUAACACUGACGCUCAUGCACGAAAGCGUGGGGAGCAAACAGG
rnacentral:rRNA from 1 species